GGCGGCAGGCCUAACACAUGCAAGUCGAGCGGAUGACAGGAGCUUGCUCCUGAAUUCAGCGGCGGACGGGUGAGUAAUGCCUAGGAAUCUGCCUGGUAGUGGGGGACAACAUUUCGAAAGGAACGCUAAUACCGCAUACGUCCUACGGGAGAAAGCAGGGGACCUUCGGGCCUUGCGCUAUCAGAUGAGCCUAGGUCGGAUUAGCUAGUUGGUGAGGUAAUGGCUCACCAAGGCGACGAUCCGUAACUGGUCUGAGAGGAUGAUCAGUCACACUGGAACUGAGACACGGUCCAGACUCCUACGGGAGGCAGCAGUGGGGAAUAUUGGACAAUGGGCGAAAGCCUGAUCCAGCCAUGCCGCGUGUGUGAAGAAGGUCUUCGGAUUGUAAAGCACUUUAAGUUGGGAGGAAGGGCAGUAAAUUAAUACUUUGCUGUUUUGACGUUACCGACAGAAUAAGCACCGGCUAACUCUGUGCCAGCAGCCGCGGUAAUACA
rnacentral:rRNA from 1 species